UACGUAGGGGGCAAGCGUUGUCCGGAAUUACUGGGCGUAAAGCGCGUGUAGGCGGGGCGGCAAGUCUGGCGUGAAAGGCUCGGGCUCAACCCGAGAUGGCCGCUGGAAACUGCCGUUCUUGAGGGUCGAAGAGGAGAGUGGAAUUCCUGGUGUAGCGGUGAAAUGCGUAGAGAUCAGGAGGAACACCCAUGGCGAAGGCAGCUCUCUGGUCGACCUCUGACGCUGAGACGCGAAAGCGUGGGGAGCGAACGGG
rnacentral:rRNA from 1 species